AACGAACGCUGGCGGCAGGCCUAACACAUGCAAGUCGAGCGCGCCCUUCGGGGUGAGCGGCGGACGGGUGAGUAACGCGUGGGAACGUGCCCUUUUCUACGGAAUAGCCUCGGGAAACUGAGAGUAAUACCGUAUACGCCCUUUGGGGGAAAGAUUUAUCGGAAAAGGAUCGGCCCGCGUUGGAUUAGGUAGUUGGGGGGGUAAUGGCCUACCAAGCCGACGAUCCAUAGCUGGUUUGAGAGGAUGCUCAGCCACACUGGGACUGAGACCCGGCCCAGACUCCUACGGGAGGCAGCAGUGGGGAAUCUUAGACAAUGGGGGCAACCCUGAUCUCGCCAUGCCGCGUGAGUGAUGAAGGCCUUAGGGUUGUAAAGCUCUUUCAGCUGGGAAGAUAAUGACGGUACCAGCAGAAGAAGCCCCGGCUAACUCCGUG
rnacentral:rRNA from 1 species